rnacentral:rRNA from 1 species
UGGGGGAUAUUGGUCAAUGGGGGAAACCCUGAACCAGCGACGCCGCGUGAGGGAAGACGGUCUUCGGAUUGUAAACCUCUGUCUUCGGGGAAGAAAGAAAUGACGGUACCCGAAGAGGAAGCCACGGCUAACUACGUGCCAGCAGCCGCGGUAAUACGUAGGUGGCGAGCGUUGUCCGGAAUUACUGGGUGUAAAGGGAGCGUAGGCGGGAAUAUAAGUCAAGUGUGAAAUGUAUCGGCUCAACCGGUACCUGCGCUUGAAACUGUAUUUCUUGAGUGAAGUAGAGGUAGGCGGAAUUCCUAGUGUAGCGGUGGAAUGCGUAGAUAUUAGGAGGAACACCAGUGGCGAAGGCGGCCUACUGGGCUUUUACUGACGCUGAAGCUCGAAAGCGUGGGGAGCAAACA